AGCGAACGCUGGCGGCAGGCCUAACACAUGCAAGUCGAACGAACUCUUCGGAGUUAGUGGCGGACGGGUGAGUAACACGUGGGAGCGUGCCUUUAGGUUCGGAAUAACUCAGGGAAACUUGUGCUAAUACCGAAUGUGCCCUUCGGGGGAAAGAUUUAUCGCCUUUAGAGCGGCCCGCGUCUGAUUAGCUAGUUGGUGAGGUAAAGGCUCACCAAGGCGACGAUCAGUAGCUGGUCUGAGAGGAUGAUCAGCCACAGUGGGACUGGGAAACGGCCCAAACUCCUACGGGAGGCAGCAGUGGGGAAUCUUGCGCAAUGGGCGAAAGCCUGACGCAGCCAUGCCGCGAGAAUGAUGAAGGUCUUAGGAUUGUAAAAUUCUUUCACCGGGGACGAUAAUGACGGUACCCGGAGAAGAAGCCCCGGCUAACUUCGUGCCAGCAGCAGCCGCCG
rnacentral:rRNA from 1 species